AAGAGGGCACAGCUAGCAACAAGACAUGUCAUCACCCUGUUCUUGCUCAUCUCUGGGUACUGUGUGCUUCAGGAAGCCCAAACAAGGGUGAAGUUCAGCUGAAGUCACCACCUACAGUGUCUAACCAGCCUCCUCUCUGAUAUGCAAAAUUAUGAUGACUUGGAAAGCUCAAAGAGAAGUGUCUGGAAUCAGAAUUGCUUGGUGGAAAGGCAAAGCAGGAGGAACUUGGGUGUGUGCAUAACAACUAGAAAGCAUCUGACUUGAAAAAUUAUUUCUUUUUCACCUGUUGAGGCCAUUUGCUUCCUUAACAGGAUCUUAAGAUUUGAAGCAUCCUUUUGAUUGCUGUCUUGGGGGAUUUACAUACUAGAUUCAUAGUGCUAGUGGAGUUGGAAUCAAGACACUUGAGAUGAUAGAAGGGUUCACUUUGGGAAAUGCAUAUGGAUAAAUCAAUGACUUCUAAACCUAUUUUUUGGACCCUGACUAUUUCCUGGAAACUACUGGAUAACUUUGUGUCUCCCCAGGACCCACAUUGGAUUAUAAACCUCUCUGGAAGAAAAUCUUACUCAGGAGGCAAACAGACUUCUUCCCAUGAACACUAGGCUAGAAACAACCCAUUAAACCCAUCAAGUGGAGAAUAGAG
rnacentral:lncRNA from 1 species